rnacentral:rRNA from 1 species
GAUGAACGCGGGCGGCGUGCUUAACACAUGCAAGUCGAACGGGAUCCAAGAAGUGCUUGCACUUUUUGGUGAGAGUGGCGAACGGGUGAGUAACACGUGAGUAACCUGUCCUUUUCUUUGGGAUAAGCUUCCGAAAGGGUGUUUAAUACCUUAUGUUCUGUCUGCCUCGCAUGGGGUGGGUGGGAAAGAUUUUUUCGGUAAAGGGUGGGCUCGCGGUCUAUCAGCUUGUUGGUGGGGUGAUGGCCUACCAAGGCUUUGACGGGUAGCCGGCCUGAGAGGGUGGUCGGUCACAUUGGGACUGAGAUACGGCCCAGACUCCUGCGGGAGGCAGCAGUGGGGGAUAUUGCACAAUGGGCGAAAGCCUGAUGCAGCGACGCCGCGUGGGGGAUGAAGGCCUUCGGGUUGUAAACUUCUUUUGCUCUGAACAAGGCGCACCGUGGGGUGUGUUGAGUGUAGGGGUUGAUUAGCGCCGGCUAACUACGUGCCAGCAGCCGCGGUAAUACGUAGGGCGCGAGCGUUGUCCGGAAUUAUUGGGCGUAAAGGGCUUGUAGGUGGCUGGUUGCGUCUGUCGUGAAAGCUCAUGGCUUAACUGUGGGUUUGCGGUGGGUACGGGCUGGCUUGAGUGCAGUAGGGGAGGCUGGAAUUCCUGGUGUAGCGGUGGAAUGCGCAGAUAUCAGGAGGAAUACCGGUGGCGAAGGCGGGUCUCUGGGCUGUUACUGACACUGAGGAGCGAAAGCAUGGGGAGCGAACAGG